rnacentral:snRNA from 1 species
AGGAAAAGAAACUAACAA